GCUGUGUGUGGAAAAGAUGGGAGGUC
rnacentral:piRNA from 1 species